rnacentral:rRNA from 1 species
AGAGCACCGAUUGGAUGUUGGGUCUCGUGCAGAGAUACCACGUCCUGUCGAACUCCGAAUACUAACGUCUGUAUUCCAGGAGUCUGUCAAUGGGAGCUAAGUUCCGUUUGACUACCAGGGAAACAACCCCACCCAUCGGCUAAGGCCCCUAAAUUCUACUUAAGUGGGAAAGGUCGUAGAACUCCUAAGACAUCCAGGAGGUUUGCUUGGAAGCAGCAAUCCUUUAAAGAGUGCGUAACAGCUCACUGGCAGAUGGAGUUCCGCGCCGACAAUGUAACGGGGCUAAAGUAGAUGCCGAAGCCGUGGUCCUGCUUUUUAGCAGGAGGUAGGGGAGCGUUCCGAUAGCGGUGAAGUUUCGCCGUGAGGCGGGAUGGAGCUUUCGGAAGUGUUUAUGCCGGCUUGAGUAGCGAGAUUGCGAUGAAAACUCGCAACGCCGAAUGCUCAAGGUUUCCUCAGCACCGCUAAUCGGCUGAGGGUUAGUCGAGCCUAAGCUGAGGCGUGUGUAAAGCACGCGUAGGCGAUGGACAAGCCGUUAAUAUUCGGCUACCGUUUACAUUCGUUAUUACCGAUGGAAUGACCAGGGUGGAGAAUCAGGAGCUCUGUAUAUCAGAGUGCAAACAGCAAACUAGCUUUCUGUGUUAAAGGCAUAGAAGGCGAUUCCUGUUGUCCACCCUUUGGGUGGAUUAAUAGGAGAAAGUGAGCUGUGAUGCAAAGCCAAAGUCUCCGGACAGAGGCGAUUCCUGAUAUUCACCCUGCGAGAAAAGUUUCUAGGGAGAAUGUAAACGAUCGUACCGCAAACCGACACAGGUGAGCUGGUAGAGUAUACCAAGGCGGACAGGAGAACCUUCGUUAAGGAACUCGGCAAAUUACUGCCGUAACUUCGGGAAAAGGCAGCCCUGUGUUUAUUCGGUUCUUACGAGUAAAUACAGGGGGCACAUAAAUGGCUCGGGCGACUGUUUAACAAAAACACAGGUCCCUGCUCAAAGCGAAAGCUGAGGUAUAGGGGCUGACGCCUGCCCAAUGCCGGUCGAUCAACUGAGGCGGUUAUUCUACUGCAGUGUUUAACUGUAGUAGGAGAAGCUGCCGAAAGAAGUCCCGGUGAAUGGCGGCUGUAACUAUAACGGUCCUAAGGUAGCGAAGUUCCUCGGCGCUUAAUAGGCGUCGCGCAUGAAAGGCGUAACGACUCGGGCACUGUCUUAACGAAGGGCCUGGCGAAAUAGCGGUUGCCGUGAAGACGCGGCUUUACCCACACCAGGACGAAAAGACCCCGUGGAGCUUUACUGGAGCCUGGCGUUGAACUAUGGUUAUAGAUGCAGAGAAUAGGUGGGAGGCUGUGAGUACUGCCUUUCGGGGCAGUAGGAGCCGACAGUGUAAUACCACCCUUCUAUUACUGUAGUUCUAAACUCUAUUAGUUUACCCUAAUAGAGGACAGCGCUUGGUGGCCAGUUUAACUGGGACGGUUUCUUUCGAAAAGGUAACGAAAGAGCCCAAAGGUCUGCUCACUCCGUAUGGAAAUCGGAGGUAGAGCGCAAUGGUAGAUGCAGGCUUUACUGUCAGGCCUACAAGCCGAGCAGUUGCGAAAGCAGGGCAUAGUGAUCCUUCGAUCGCUUGUGAGAGCGUCGUUGCUUAACGGAUAAAAGUUACCCCGGGGAUAACAGGCUAGUCUUCCCUGCGCGUUCACAGCUACGGGAAGGUUCGGCACCUCGAUGUCACCUCGCCGCAUCCUGGAGCUGUAUAAGGUUCCAAGGGUUAUGCUGUUCGCAUAUUAAAGCGGCGCGCUAGGCGGGUUCAGAACGACGUGAGUCAGUUCGGUCUCUAUCCGGUGUGGGCGUUCGAGCUUUGAGAGGAGUCGCUUUCAGUACGAAAGGACCAAAGCGAGCCAACCUCUGGUGUACCAGUUGUCCCAAAAGGGCAUCGCUGGGUAGCCACGUUGGUAUCUGGAUAAGCGCUGAAAGCAUAUAAGCGCGAAGCCAGCCUCAAGAUUAAAGCUCGUUUCCCGAUAAGGGAGAGAGGUCCGGGGAAGAUAACCCCGU